UUCAGUUUCUGCAGUUAAGUGAACGUCAACAUGCAACACUUUCAAACCAAUGAGUGUAACACCAAUUCUCAAAUCUCAUCCCAUCACUGAAAGCUUCUGGCAGCCCAACACCUGUGUACAUUAGUGCAGGAAUUAAAUUCUAGGCUUGCAUUAACACACUAGUAAAGUAAUCUGUAUUUUGGCAGCAAAGGAAAGAGCAAAGUACCAAAGCUUUAAACUUUUGUACUCUCUCUCCUAUAGCCCAGUACAUUUUAU